GACGAACGCUGGCGGCGUGCUUAACACAUGCAAGUCGAACGGAAAGGCCUCUUUCGGGGGGUGCUCGCGUGGCGAACGGGUGAGUAACACGUGAGUAACCUGCCCUUGACUUUGGGAUAACUUCAGGAAACUGGGGCUAAUACCGGAUAGGAGCUCCUGCUGCAUGGUGGGGGUUGGAAAGUUUUUGCGGGUGGGGGUUGGCUCGCGGCUUAUCAGCUUGUUGGUGGGGUAGUGGCUUAACAAAGCUUUGUCGGGUAGCCGGCCGGGGAGGGUGGCCGGCCAAAUUGGGACCGGGGAUAGGGCCAGGCGUCUACGGGGGGGAAGAGGGGGGGAAAUUGGAAAAUGGGGGGGAGCCUGAUGGAGCAACGGCGUGGGGGGGAAGACGGGCUUUGGGUUGGAAACCGCCUUCGCUCAGGACGGAGCUGUGAGUGACGGUAGUGGGUAAAGAAGCACCGGCUAACUACGUG
rnacentral:rRNA from 1 species